rnacentral:lncRNA from 1 species
UAAAAUCCAAUAGGAAAGUUUCCAAGUGUCUAGUUAACUGCCAAAACAUAACGCAUAUGCUAAGGAGCGUCGAAUUACAAAAACCCAUCAAUAAAAAACAUUUAAAUCUUCUGGGGACCUACGUACAUGCCAAAAACUACUAGAAAACUCAAGGAACAUUACGAAAUUUCAAUGUGUGAGCUCAGACUUCAGCCUUCGGCGCUAAGGAAACCACAAGUUGACUCGAAUGAGAUU